rnacentral:rRNA from 1 species
UAGAGUUUGAUCCUGGCUCAGAACGAACGCUGGCGGCGUGGAUAAGACAUGCAAGUCGAACGAGAGAAUUGCUAGCUUGCUAAUAAUUCUCUAGUGGCGCACGGGUGAGUAACACGUGAGUAACCUGCCCCCGAGAGCGGGAUAGCCCUGGGAAACUGGGAUUAAUACCGCAUAGUAUCGAAAGAUUAAAGCAGCAAUGCGCUUGGGGAUGGGCUCGCGGCCUAUUAGUUAGUUGGUGAGGUAACGGCUCACCAAGGCGAUGACGGGUAGCCGGUCUGAGAGGAUGUCCGGCCACACUGGAACUGAGACACGGUCCAGACACCUACGGGUGGCAGCAGUCGAGAAUCAUUCACAAUGGGGGAAACCCUGAUGGUGCGACGCCGCGUGGGGGAAUGAAGGUCUUCGGAUUGUAAACCCCUGUCAUGUGGGAGCAAAUUAAAAAGAUAGUACCACAAGAGGAAGAGACGGCUAACUCUGUGCCAGCAGCCGCGGUAAUACAGAGGUCUCAAGCGUUGUUCGGAAUCACUGGGCGUAAAGCGUGCGUAGGCUGUUUCGUAAGUCGUGUGUGAAAGGCGCGGGCUCAACCCGCGGACGGCACAUGAUACUGCGAGACUAGAGUAAUGGAGGGGGGAACCCGGAAUUUCUCGGUGUAGCAGUGAAAAUGCGUAGAUAUCGAGAGGAACACUCGUGGGGAAGGCGGGUUCCUUGGACAUUAACUGACGCUGAGGCACGAAGGCCAGGGGGAGCGAAAGGGAUUAGAUACCCCUGUAGUCCUGGCAGUAAACGGUGCACGCUUGGUGUGCGGGGAAUCGACCCCCUGCGUGCCGGAGCUAACGCGUUAAGCGUGCCGCCUGGGGAGUACGGUCGCAAGAUUAAAACUCAAAAAAAUUGACGGGGACCCGCACAAGCGGUGGAGUAUGUGGCUUAAUUCGAUGCAACGCGAAGAACCUUACCUGGGCUUGACAUGUAAUGAACAACAUGUGAGAGCAUGCGACUCUUCGGAGGCGUUACACAGGUGCUGCAUGGCCGUCGUCAGCUCGUGUCGUGAGAUGUUUGGUUAAGUCCAGCAACGAGCGCAACCCCUGUUGCCAGUUACCAGCACGUGAAGGUGGGGACUCUGGCGAGACUGCCCAGAUCAACUGGGAGGAAGGUGGGGACGACGUCAGGUCAGUAUGGCCCUUAUGCCCAGGGCUGCACACGUACUACAAUGCCCAGUACAGAGGGGGCCGAAGCCGCGAGGCGGAGGAAAUCCUAAAAACUGGGCCCAGUUCGGACUGUAGGCUGCAACCCGCCUACACGAAGCCGGAAUCGCUAGUAAUGGCGCAUCAGCUACGGCGCCGUGAAUACGUUAGCGGGCCUUGCACACACCGCCCGUCA